UGAUGGCACAGUGGUUAGAAUGCAGUAUUUCAGGUUAACUCUGCAUUCCUCUGCCAGGAGUCUUUCCAAGAUCGAGAGAAGCUCAAGGUUGACU